UCCUCAGUAGCUCAGUUGGUAGAGCAGCAGACUGUUAAUCUGUGGGUCACACGUUCGAUCCGUGUCUGGGGAG
rnacentral:tRNA from 1 species